CACACAGUGGAUUUAUAAAAAUGAGACUACAGAACAUCAGACGGAAGCUUCAACACGUGAGAGGACAUCAUCAAUAAAGAAUGCCAUUGACCAAACCUUCAGUCAUCAAAGGAGAUGGAUACAGGUGGACAUUGAGUUUCCAGACUUACCGAUAGGAAAGAAGACAUGUUUAUCAGGAAAUGGGAGGUGACAAUUAUUGAGAAAUUCGGGGAAAUAGCAUCUUUAGAGAAGAAAAUGGACAUCAGACAUUCAUUGAAGAAAGCUGACAGUCAACAUAAUGAUCUUCUGCUGUGUGAAUUCUGUGUGAAGUCUCAGACCUGUGGGACUUGGUGGCGGCUGGUACCAGCGUGACCUCUUUGCUUACUAAAUGAUGAAAAGGUGUCUAAAAUCAGCUCAGCCACAGUUGGUUUCCAGCGGUUCUUCAGGACAUAGAGGCCACUAUGUAAUUGUCGCAAUGAAUGAUUCUCUUGCCUUUCCACUUGAUGUUUACAAUCUGACCUGUGCGGUAGACAGACUUUUCAAAUUUACUAGCUAAGUAACCUUAAGUAUCCCUGCCAACUGUCUUCAGUUUUUUUUUUUUGGUAUGAAUAUGAUCUACCCUUGUCCCAGUCCUCUUGCAAAC